rnacentral:lncRNA from 1 species
GUGAGGCGGGGAGGUGUCGGGCGCCAUCUUGGCCUAGGCGGGCCGGGCCCGCGGGCCACCAUCUUGCGGGCAGGACGGCUACUGCGGUCUGGGCAGCGCCUCCCCUGCGGUGUACAAAGGUGGCGGGCUCGUUCCCUUUGUCCCUUCUCCGCUGGCGUGCGUCAGCGCACCGUCAGACGCUUGUCCCGGCAGCCCGGCUGCCUCCUCGCGGGCCGCCUCCAAGCCCAGACAAAGCCCCUGAGAGAGCGGCAGAAAGGAGAGCUUUCUCACGGUGUCUCACGGGCGCGUACGGCAGCUUUACGCCUGCGGGGUGACGGCAGCGCCUGAGGUGGCAGAAAGCAUGCUGCCCAGAGAGCUGCUCUGGGGCAAUUUGCAGUCAGAAACAUUGCAAUUUUCAGUUCCAGGAUUUUCUGACAGCUUCUAUUGCCAUACGGCCCUGCGUGGGACAGGACAGUGUCGCAUGUGAGGAAAGGCAGACAGACAACAGAGGGAACCAGGCAGCUGAGCGAUAUACGUGUUUUAAAUGGACAAGAGAUUCGUGAUGUUCAGACACUGCCUCCUCUGUCACAUGGAUUACAGUCUGGCAUCCACAAAGUUAGCACGGACUCUGUUUUUGUUAGGCUCUGCAGUAUCACUGCACUUUAGAAAUUAAAAAAUGAAAAUAUGAGAUCUUUUUUCUUCAAAUCUUUCUGAAAGAGAAACAUCUAUCGCAAUGGUAUGGGGGAUGGCGCUGCCACUGGCAGCAAGGGAAGCUCUGCAUGCCACAAGCACGCAGGGCAGUGCCAGCAGUUUCAGUGCCACACAGCGGGCACUCACAGACUGCUGGCUUUUAGCUUUGUCUCUCAAAACUUAUCGCAGCGUGGCAACGUCACACAGCACCACACACCCUGCUGGGGACGAAGUCAGAAAGGCAUGGAGUGCGGUACACUCUCACAACCCCAUUUUAUGUAAUUGUGUAAAAGGUUCAAAUAACAAUAAAAGCAAGAAAGCAUUUUAAGAAAAACUACCUAAGCUUAGAAAUAGUCUUGUUGACAAUUCUGUGACAUUUCUGGCCAGGUCAUUAUUUUGAGGUACAAAUCUUCUACCACAUUCUCUUUGUAGACAAGGCAGGGAAAUGCACAGCCAAUAUAAACAAAUUUUUAAGUAUUCAUUACAAAACAGGCCAGAGAAAUUUCUUUUUAACCUGUAUUUCUAAGCUGAGAACAAUAUGGAUGUUACUGGCCAGUAUGCACAAAAUAGGGCUAUCAUGACAUCGAUUUCCCACAGCUGUACACAUCUGUGGGUAACAGUUUCAAUUCAUACUAAUGACCUUUUAACCAUGAUCGGUAUAAUGGGGUACUCCAAAGGAUGUAAGCUCAGUGGGCAUCCGUUUACAGCCUCUCUGUCCUUCUAACAUGGUGCAAAGGACAGCAGUAUAAAGGAGAAUCAGGGCCUUCAUUCUUAAUUUAAAAAAGAUUCCCAGACCCCAGACCCUUUUCCAUUACCACGUAAUAAAACUACAGACAUACAUGUAAAAUAUUGACAAGAUCACAAAACUUUCCACAACAGCAUUAAAAUGUUCUGUGGCAACAACUGCAAUACUGAACAUCAAACUCGCCACUCCCUCACACCUCUGCAGCAACACUUCUUUGGAAUUCAGUUCAUCUGCUGGAACUGGUAACUCUCUGUAUGUUAGCUGACAAAUCUGUCCAAACCUACAGGCGUAGGUUGCUCAGAUCUACAGCCUUUGUCCUCUCAUUUUAUGAGGAAAGCUGGUAGGGUGUGCAAAGUGUUAAAAACAGCGUUGUCACACCAUACAGAACAAGUCACCUUCAUGCAAGUCAUUUAGCACCCUAAUCUUGCAUUCACUGCAAAUACGCUGUUGGAAGAUUCUAGCAUUUUCAUAAAACUGUCCAUAAAAAAUGACAUAUAUAAUGGUCCAGCAGAAAAAAGAUACUGUUUUAGAAGAAUUCAGGAAAGAGCAUUAAGAAGCAUCUUACAUCUUUACAAGCUGAAGUCACAAAUACGUAGUGAAGCAGCAUAAACAACAGUGGGAUGAACUGGGGAACUGGGUUGGAAAAAGAAUCCUAAAGCCUUUGCUUCUCAGAAAGACAAUGGCAACACCCCUGUAACCCUUUUAUAAAAGGCAGUUACUAUGUAAUUAUUUUCUGCUCAAGCUCAAUCAGUUCCACUUGCUGUUGCAGAGAAAGUACCGAAAAAAAAAAUAAUAAUCCAUUGUUCCACUCCUUUUUUCUAAGCAGUCCUGGCAGUUCAGGCAUGUCACUUGCACAAUACUAGGGUUUCUCACAAGGAUGAUAACUAACCCCUGCACAAGAACGUAGCUGCAAGAUCUAAAGAAAUACUCCUCUAAGGAUGGUGCAAGGUCUGCUGGACCUCGCGUGAGGGCCUGGGCAGAGCUGGUAGAGUAACUUGCAAGAAAAGAGGCUCGCUCCACAGAGGUGCUAGCAACAGGAGGAACAAUCUGCCACUCUAGAAAGUGGGGGCUGUAAGCAAAGGGUCUUUUGUUUAGCUACAUGCGUGCAUAACAACAGCGUGACAGCUACAGCAAGAGAUCUGAAGUUAACUGGAAAAAUACAUAAAAAGCAAGAAAACACUGAUGGGUGAAAGAUUCUGAAAUGUCCUUCUUUCUUGGAAUGAAAAAGUAUCCAACUGCAAUAUUCUGGAUUCUCUAUGACAAAACAUGACU